GGCUUAAUGGUCUAGGGGUAUGAUUCUCGCUUUGGGUGCGAGAGGUCCCGGGUUCAAAUACCGAUUGAGCCC
rnacentral:tRNA from 1 species